GGAGAGAUUGCUAUUGGCAGGGCAAGCUGUUUGCUAAACAGUCGUGGAUGUAAGUCCACUGUGGGUUCAACUCCCUCUCUCUCCGCCU
rnacentral:tRNA from 1 species